ensembl:lncRNA
UGCUGAGCCAAGCCGUACCCAGUGUGAAGUGCAUGGACGGCCUGUUGGAGUGUGUGUGUGUGUGUGUGUGUGUGUGUGUUGGGAGGUGAGAGUGUGUGUGUGUGUGUGUGUGUGUGUAUGUGUAUGUGUCUUCCUUCUGAUCUAAACACCGUGCCCAUUUAAAAAAAAAAAAAAAAGAGGCACUCGCCAGUCUUAUUGCAUUACCCGUCUCUGAAGCCUUGUGGAACACCACCUGCUCGUGUUUUUAGGAGAUUAGAGAAUGCCACGCCAGGGUGUGGUACAAAUUUAACAACUAUGUCUUCAGCGUGUUUCUGUGUGUGUGUGUAUUUCCUUUUUUUUUUUUACUUUAAAUUGAAUAAUAAUUGUGUAUAUUUUUGUCCCCU